ensembl:snoRNA
AUCCUUUUGUGCUUCAUAAAUGUGGGUUUCCAAGCUUGUGCAUGAGAUGGCCCUCAAACCUUGUUACAGCGGUGCACUUUACCCGUCUGAUG